rnacentral:tRNA from 1 species
GAGUAUGUAGUGUAAUGGUAGCACACGUGCUUUGGGAGCAUGUAGAGCCGUUCGAAUCGGACAUAUUCG